GCCACAUUUCGUCCUUUCUUCCUGCGGCAGCCGCGUUGUCUUUGUGAUGUUGUCUUGUACUUCGUUUUUCUCACCGCCACAACUCGCUGUCCCCGGGACGCAUUCUCCGGUUGCUGCGCCCAAGACUGCGGGAUGCAGAACCUGCCGCGGAGAAACCGGCCUUCUCCGUCUCGACGGUGGAGGCCACGAUGGCGGCUCGCGUAAUGGAAGUUCGCGGCCUGCACACUGCACCCUUUGACGGCUGUUCCGGAUGGGGGUUCCGUGAAGACAGAUGUGACAAUGACGCUGUGCAGCACUAGGCCCUGGUUCUUCUCAAGGCUCAAGUUGGGGAAGUCAACCUGUCUUCCAACCUGCCUCUGCUCAGUCACUAAGAGCCAUGUGACCAGUGACGGGGCGAUCAUUUAUGAUCUCAGUCUACAGUUUGUUGGAAAAAAAGAGGACUUCCCUGGAAGCAAGCAGAAGCUUUUUUUUACUAAAACUUUCUGAUUAGCCAGCAGUGAUGGCCCACACUGAGACAAUAAAGGCUACAAAGAUCUGUCUUGAAAAAAGUGAAAUGCUUUGGUAUUUAACAUGUAAUUGGUUCAAUAAAGACUUCUGAAAGUA